rnacentral:rRNA from 1 species
GACGAACGCUGGCGGCGUGCCUAAUACAUGCAAGUCGAGCGGACGAAUCGAAAGCUUGCUUUUGAUUCGUUAGCGGCGGACGGGUGAGUAACACGUGGGCAACCUGCCCUGUAGACGGGGAUAACACCGAGAAAUCGGUGCUAAUACCGGAUAACACGAAAUGUCGCAUGACGUUUCGUUGAAAGACGGCGCAAGCUGUCGCUACAGGAUGGGCCCGCGGCGCCGUGGCUAGUUGGUGAGGGAACGGCUCACCAAGGCGACGAUGCGUAGCCGACCUGAGAGGGUGAUCGGCCACACUGGGACUGAGACACGGCCCAGACUCCUACGGGAGGCAGCAGUAGGGAAUCUUCCGCAAUGGACGAAAGUCUGACGGAGCAACGCCGCGUGAGCGAAGAAGGCCUUCGGGUCGUAAAGCUCUGUUGUUAGGGAAGAACAAGUAACGCAGUAACUGGCGUUACCGUGACGGUACCUAACGAGAAAGCCACGGCUAACUACGUGCCAGCCGCCGCAGUAA